CUCUGUUCUGGAUAGUCCUAGCUCCUUGGACCGAAAACUGCUGUCUUGGGCACAUUACAAGUUGCAUGUAUUUUUAUAAGCAUUUGCACAUUCUUGUUUCUUAGACUUGGAAAUCAAAGCAUUCAUGAGCAUUACAUUAGGAUUUAUGUUCCACUUUUAAGGUUAUUUUAUAAUGUCCAAAUAUUUUUAAGAGGUUUGAAUCUCAUUUACUGCACCCAGACUUAUUAUAUACAAUAAAAC